GAAGGCGACCAUCAGGGUGUGGGAGUGAGGCAAGUUCCCCAAGACACAGCAGGGGCACGCCCAGCAGCAGGGCUUGGAAACAGGCUGGCCUAAUUUGCAGCUGAAAUAGGGCCAGGAAAGUCUCAGAGUCAACUGGAGAAGUAGAAAUGGUGGGGACCAACCAGCACAGUGGUCCAGGAUGACCUGCAAAUGCCUCAGCUCCAGAAGAAGAAGAGACAUCAGAGGGGCACAUGCAGAGGAAAGACCAUGUGAGGACACACAGAGAGAAGGUGGCCGCCUGCAAGUCAAAGAGGAAGGCCUCAGGGAACACCACCCCGCCAACACCUUGAUCUUGGACAUCCAGUCUCCAGACUGUGAGAAACAAAAAUCUGCUGUUUAAGCCCCCCGGUCUGUGGAAUUCUGUUACAGCGGCCCGAGUGAGCUGAUGCAGCUCUGAAAUGGAUGAAAAGUCCUCAGACCCAGCCUCUGCCUCCACCUGCCCUGAGGACCAGACUGUAAUUUUCACAGCGAUACCAUUUCCAGGUCAACUGGGGAGGCAGCCCUCUCAAGACAGGCGUACCCACUGGGGUGUCUCCACCAGUGUGACGGGAGACAGAAGAAAGUUCUCCAACAAGGUGGUGGCGGCGGGGAGGCAGGGCCCUCUGAAGCUGCAUUUGGAUUGCAAGAUUUUUCUUAGAGGCAGUGCUGAUUUCAGGGGCCACUGCUGAGUCUUCUAAGGGCCAGAGGGGAGGGCCCCUCCUCCCAGUUCUCCCCCUGGUCCUUCUGAUGCUGAAAAGUCAGCUUCCCCACGGGGCGGCAGGGACCCAGCCCUCCUGCCCCGGCAGCCGUUGUUUCAGAGGCCCUCCCACGGGGUCUAACCUCGCACCUCCACUUUCUGGAAGUUUCUGGCCAGCAUCUCACACUGCCUUCCACGAGCUUGUCCAUCUCCCUCUAUUUAAGGAUCUUUUAAAGCAUUUAAAACAAAAUUAACAGUAAGGAAAUUGGAACGUGUUCCUAACAUUGUGCCAAGCACUGUAGCAGGCGUUUUCGUGUACGGCAACUCACUUGGGGAAGUUAGUUGGUCUCUGUGCCUCAGUGUCCUUGUCUGUACAAGUAAACCUCAUGGUGCCUGUCCUUAGUCACAGGGCUAUUGUAAAGAAGGGCGGAUGUUAUGCACGUAAGAUGCUCAGAACAAGGGUUGGAAAGUGCUCAAUAAAUGUGAGUAGUCGUUUCACUUACCACCCCCCUCCGCAUCCAGAUGGUUAUUUAGCCCAUUUUACAGAUGAGAAAAUGGAGGCUCAUGGAAAUGAAGCAAUCCUCGUGAAUCCCUCCUGGGGGAAGGGUCCGGCCACAGUUCGAACCAGGCCAGGCUCCUCCUCCACAUCCCACAUCCCUCCUGCCAGGCUGCAAAAGCGUUUCUGCAACCUAGACAGUGGUUAUCACCUCCCUGGUGUGUUUUCAUCACCUCCUUUCAAAUUCUCCUACACAGACCUGGGGCUUGCAAAUAGUUUUGAUUGCAACCCUUGGUAAGGACUGUUUUACAUCACAACCCGGAACAGAUAUGUAUGAAAGUUUCCUGAAGUGAUGCUUUCUCAUUCUG